rnacentral:rRNA from 1 species
CCUACGGGGGGCAGCAGUGGGGAAUAUUGGACAAUGGGGGGAACCCUGAUCCAGCCAUGCCGCGUGUGUGAAGAAGGCCCUCGGGUUGUAAAGCACUUUCAGUGAGGAAGAACGCCUGGUGGUUAAUACCCAUCAGGAAAGACAUCACUCACAGAAGAAGCACCGGCUAACUCCGUGCCAGCAGCCGCGGUAAUACGGAGGGUGCGAGCGUUAAUCGGAAUUACUGGGCGUAAAGCGCGCGUAGGUGGCUUGAUAAGCCGGUUGUGAAAGCCCCGGGCUCAACCUGGGAACGGCAUCCGGAACUGUCAAGCUAGAGUGCAGGAGAGGAAGGUAGAAUUCCCGGUGUAGCGGUGAAAUGCGUUGAGAUCGGGAGGAAUACCAGUGGCGAAGGCGGCCUUCUGGACUGACACUGACACUGAGGUGCGAAAGCGUGGGUAGCAAACAGGAUUAGAUACCCUGGUAGUC